rnacentral:rRNA from 1 species
GACGUAGGGCGCGAGCGUUUGUCCGGAUUUAUUGGGCGUAAAGAGCUCGUAGGCGGCUCAUUGCGUCAACCGUGAAAACCAGCAGCUCAACUGUUGGCUUGCGGUUGAUACGGGUGGGCUGGAGUUCGGUAGGGGAGACUGGAAUUCCUGGUGUAGCGGUGAAAUGACGCAGAUAUCAGGAGGAACACCGGUGGCGAAGGCGGGUCUCUGGGGCCGAUACUGACGCUGGAGGAGCG